rnacentral:lncRNA from 1 species
GCCCCUUGUUUGUCGUUUUGUAUGAAGGGGGUUUUUGUUGUUGGAUUUUCUUCCCCAUCUCUGUGUCCUGUUAUGUUCUUUGGCUUAUGUUUCAAAAAUUCUGUUUCCUACCACCAACCUCUGUACAUGCCACAACACAUACAAUUUGUACUUUCACAGUUUCUGUGAAGUAGGAUGAUCUGCAGUUAAUAAUCAACUGUUUGGGCAUUCUUGGUAUCCAAGGAAGGUUUUACUUAGAAGGAAGAACCUGGAAGGACCUGUUGGCAAUUAGACUACUUCUGCGUUUAUUUUACAUUUUCCCUUAUUAACGUAGGCUGUUGAGAGUUGACUUGUUUUAUAAGAGAAACCAGAUUGACAGAGAAGACCCCCAAUCAGAUAGAGUUAUUUUAAAAAUAAAUGUGUUUAUUAUGGUAACAUUUGGGGUAGAAUCUAAAGGGCAUAUUUUUAAAAAAACUUUUAGUUCUAAAGACAAAAGAGUUUAACCUAAAACAGAACAAAGAGAAGGGCCUUUGAAGCAGUAUGAUUGAUUAUAUGCUGAAUGUAGCAUUAGAAUGUUGUAUGAAAGCAUAAAUUUUUAUUUUCUCAAUUUCUAUGGUACAAACUACUAUGCCCAUGGAAGUAUGUGUUUAUGCCCACAGCCUGAAAUAUAUUCGGUGGAAUGCCUUAAAAAAGAAUAAAUCUGGCCGGGCGCGGUGGCUCACGCCUGUAAUCCCAGCUACUUGGGAGGCUGAGGCAGGAGAAUGGCGUGAACCCGGGAGGCGGAGCCUGCAGUGAGCCGAGAUCCCGCCACUGCACUCCAGCCUGGGCGACAGAGCGAGACUCUGUCUCAAAAAAAAAAAAAAGAAUAGAUCUGAGGAAAAUGUAAGAGCAAGUCUAAAAUUUUGAAGUCCUUUUUGAAAUGCUAUUUUUUCCUAGACAAAUUUAGUGUUAUUUGUGGCAAAUAGAACUUUAAUGUCGUAAUUUAGUAAUAGAACAAAAUAAGGGUGGGUUUACAUGUCCCUGCACAUUUUAGGAUGGAGCUAAAAAUUAUAAUGUCUGCAUACCAAAUUGUUACACAUUUUAAUAUUGGGGCUUUUAUUGAAAAAGUUUACCCAAUAUUUAGAAACCUUUAAAAACAAAGUGACAUAAAAUAUUCACAGAUAAAUCAGGUAGUCACCUUAUUGGUGGCAUAUUAUGUAAGUGUACUAAAGCCAGAUAUUUAGUGUUAAUCCAAAAAUAUGAAAAUUAUGCUAACAUCAUAUACAGAUCUCAGAAGUUGCUGUAGCCAGCCAGGCGUGGCGGCUCACACUUGUAAUCCCAGCACUUUGUGAGGCCAAGGCGGGUGGAUCACCUUAGGUCAGGUGUUUGAGACCAGCCUGACCAACAUGGUGAAAUGCCAUUUCUACUAAAAAUACAAAAAUUACCCGGGCAUGGUGGUGCGAGCUUGUAAUCCCAGCUACUUGGGAGGCUG